rnacentral:rRNA from 1 species
CCUUUCCUGACGCUGAGGAGCGAAAGCGUGGGGAGCGAACAGACUUAGAUACCCUGGUAGUCCACGCUGUAAACGGUGGGUACUAGGUGUGGGGUCCAUUCCACGGGUUCCGCGCCGUAGCUAACGCUUUAAGUACCCCGCCUGGGGAGUACGGCCGCUUGGCUAAAACUCAAAUGAAUUGACGGAAUCACUAGUGACUCGCAGCAUGGGACUGAGAUACGGCCCAGACUCCUACGGGAGGCAGCAGUGGGGAAUAUUGCACAAUGGGCGGAAGCCUGAUGCAGCAACGCCGCGUGCGGGAUGACGGCCUUCGGGUUGUAAACCGCUUUCGCCUGUGACGAAGCGUGAGUGACGGUAAUGGGUAAAGAAGCACCGGCUAACUACGUGCCAGCAGCCGCGGUGAUACGUAGGGUGCGAGCGUUGUCCGGAUUUAUUGGGCGUAAAGGGCUCGUAGGUGGUUGAUCGCGUCGGAAGUGUAAUCUUGGGGCUUAACCCUGAGCGUGCUUUC